UACGUAGGUGGCGAGCGUUGUCCGGAUUUACUGGGCGUAAAGGGCUUGUAGGCGGUCUGUUAAGUCUGGUGUGAAAUCUCCCGGCUCAACUGGGAGAGGUCAUCGGAUACUGGCAGACUGGAGGUGGGCAGAGGAAAGCAGAAUUCCCGGUGUAGCGGUGAAAUGCGUAGAUAUCGGGAGGAAUACCAGUGGCGAAGGCGGCUUUCUGGGCCUAUCCUGACGCUGAGGAGCGAAAGCGUGGGGAGCAAACCGG
rnacentral:rRNA from 1 species